rnacentral:rRNA from 1 species
CUGCUGCCUCCCGUAGGAGUUUGGGCCGUGUCUCAGUCCCAAUGUGGCCGGUCACCCUCUCAGGUCGGCUACUGAUCGUCGCCUUGGUGAGCCGUUACCUCUCCAACUAGCUAAUCAGAUGCGGGUCCAUCUCAUACCACCGGAGUUUUUCACACCAAACCAUGCGGUUUUGUGCGCUUAUGCGGUUUUANCAGUCAUUUCUAACUGUUAUCCCCCUGUAUGAGGCAGGUUACCCACGCGUUACUCACCCGUCCGCCA